UGCUUUCAUUUAUGUUAUUAUUUUAUACUCUGCAAGAUACUGUUGUAUAAUCACUUUUGCUUUACUUCAAUACAGAGAGCCUUGGGUAAAAAAAGGCAGAGUACCAGUCAGUGGUUAAAGACACACAAAAUGUGGACAUCAAAACAAAUGGCUACAUUUGCUCGUGAGGAAGAUGAUAACGAAGAGGAUGAGACUCCUUCAAACCAUAAGAUAGUGGAUGAUUCACACUCAACUGCAAAGCAAUGAAAGAACACAUCUGUCACUAAAUUGAACCCAGUCACAUUGGAUUAUGCCCAAAAGUGUGAGAAUUACAAGAAACUCACCAGAACUGAGAUGGACUCCAUUUCCACCUUAGAA